rnacentral:rRNA from 1 species
AGCAGCCGCGGUAAUUCCAGCUCCAAUAGCGUAUAUUAAAGUUGUUGCAGUUAAAAAGCUCGUAGUUGAACCUUGGGCCUGGCUGACCGGUCCGCCUCACCGCGUGCACUGGUUCGGCCGGGCCUUUCCUUCUGGGGAGCCGCAUGCCCUUCACUGGGUGUGUCGGGGAACCAGGACUUUUACUUUGAAAAAAUUAGAGUGUUCAAAGCAGGCCUAUGCUCGAAUACAUUAGCAUGGAAUAAUAGAAUAGGACGUGUGGUUCUAUUUUGUUGGUUUCUAGGACCGCCGUAAUGAUUAAUAGGGAUAGUCGGGGGCAUCAGUAUUCAAUUGUCAGAGGUGAAAUUCUUGGAUUUAUUGAAGACUAACUACUGCGAAAGCAUUUGCCAAGGAUGUUUUCAUUAAUCAGUGAACGAAAGUUAGGGGAUCGAAGACGAUCAGAUACCGUCGUAGUCUUAACCAUAAACUAUGCCGACUAGGGAUCGGGCGAUGUUAUCUUUUUGACUCGCUCGGCACCUCACGAGAAAUCAAAGUCUUUGG